rnacentral:lncRNA from 1 species
CAUGUUAAUAUAGCAGCCAGAACAAUUCAGAUCUCCUAAGCGUGCCAACAAGGAUGAAUCACAGCAGCACCAAAGCAUGUAAUCAAAAACAUCUGAUGCUACAAGUUUUAGACCAACAUAGGUCCCCUAGCAAGCAAUCUCUCUCUUUUUGUGAUAGAGGGAUACAUUAUCUCAGCAAAUCAAAUCCAUCAAGAAACUAGUUUCAGAGUUGAGGUGGGAAGGCUACUAAGAAGCCCUACCCAGUUAGGUUUAGCCAAUAGUAGGGUAAAAAAACUUUUAAGACAAAUAAAACAGGCAAAAAAUCUUUGAACCUCUCAAGAACCCGUACUGUACCGUGCCGACAUAGUGCUAGUGUAGCACCAAUACGGGGUCCUGUACCGAGACAACGAACCUUGUUUUCAAUAAUGAAUUUACUAACCAUAAUAAUGUUGAAAGAGAUCCUUUUUUAUAGAGAUUGGUCAAGGCUGUAAAUAGCGAAAUAACUUUGCAAAAUAUCAUUUUUCUGGUAUCUCUCAACAAAUAAUCUUGAAAAACACAUAGGGCCCAUUUGGUUAGGGGUAAUCUGGCAUGAAAAAUAAAUCCCUUGUAAAUGUACUCUCCCCAGGUGGUGUCCUCCUCUUUCCAGCAACAACAUUCUCUCUCCUUGGUCAAGUCCAAAGACAACAUCUUCAAUAAUUCCUGCAAAAGCAUUUCACAAACUAAUAAGCAACAACAGCAUCCUUGUCAUCCCCCAUCAGUGAUGUCUUGUCUCUCUCUUAGGAGUGUUCUUGUCUACCUCAGCUACCUUAACAUAGAGAAUAGUAAAGGAAGAUGCAUGGGGCAAAGGAGGAUCAGGUGCUUUAAGGACUGAUGUGGCCCAAAUCUGAUCAGCCAACCAUGGGCCGA